rnacentral:rRNA from 1 species
CGGGGGGCGAAGCGUUGUUCGGAAUUACUGGGCGGUAAAGGGCUCGUAGGUGGCCAACUAAGUCAGACGUGAAAUCCCUCGGCUUAACCGGGGAACGUGCAUCUGAUACUGGAUGGCUUGAGUUUGGGAGAGGGACGCGGAAUUCCAGGUGUAGCGGUGAAAUGCGUAGAUAUCUGGAGGAACACCGGUGGCGAAGGCGGCGUCCUGGACCAACACUGACACUGAUGAGCGAAAGCCAGGGGAGCAAACGGGAUUAGAUACCCCGGUAGUCCUGGCCCUAAACGAUGAAUGCUUGGUGUGGCGGGUAUCGAUCCCUGCCGUGCCGAAGCUAACGCAUUAAGCAUUCCGCCUGGGGAGUACGGUCGCAAGGCUG